CCUAACAGAAGUAGAAGGUAGGGCGUUCAAAAGCACAAACCCACUCGCCCUGGCUGAGUUGGUUGAAGUGCCGUCCUGCACACGGAAAGACUGCGGGUUGGGUUCCUGGUCAGGGCACAUACCUAGGUUUCUGGUUAGGCCCCAGGUCAAGGCAUAUAUGGGAGACCAUACAUUGAUGUUUCUCUCUCUCUCCCUCUCUCUGUAAAAAUCAAUAGAAACAAACACCAACCCUUUCAGACUCUGGACCCACUGUGUAACACGUGCACUCAUAACCUGGAUUUGAUAUUCUGUGUCCCGGAAUGAAAGUCUCAAAAGCGUGUCUCCAAGUCAAAAUGGAAUUCGGCCUCAAUGUUGAGAUUCUUUGGUUUUUCAUCCUGAACUUUAGAAACAGAUGCACUAGUUGGAUGAUAUCACCAAGGAUCCAAGGCAGUCCUCAGGGGAUUUUUUAUUUAUUGAUUCAGGUGAAUCGGAUGAAUCUAAGUUAAGAAUUUCAAGUAUGCAGCGGUUGUUCAAAAACUUUUUGAUAAAAAUCAAAGGACUACUGACAAUGGAGGUGCUCUAAGGAAGGUGAAAAUGGUCUUUGAAUCAAUGGAAAAAUAUCCUCUGGUGAGGGUCGGAAAAAAAGAGUACCUUGUGGGUGUGUGUCUGUGGUUCGAGACAUCUCCAGCCGUUCUUCUCCCACCGUCCCCCAGAGCCCGUUCCCUCUACCUGGACCCCCUGCUUCCAAGGGGCCUGUUGCUUGCAAUUAACACCCCACCCUCUGGACUGAACGUGCUGCGGGGUUUGCCUCUGGUGCAUUGGGAGGGAGAUCUGAGCCCAGCGAUGAUCAGAAUAGCUGGUUUCCAUGUGUGCGUUGACUUUUAAAAGGAAGAGAGAACUUUUGUGCACAUGGUGUUCCUCCAUCUGUUCCCAGAGGCGCAGUCUCUCCUGUGGAGUACCUGCUACUAGAUUUCA